UCCUGGUUAGCUCAGUUGGUACAGCGCUCCACUGGAAAUGGAGAGGUCUCUUGCUCAAUACCUGGACCGGGCA
rnacentral:tRNA from 1 species